rnacentral:rRNA from 1 species
GACGAACGCUGGCGGCGUGCUUAACACAUGCAAGUCGAACGGAAAGGCCCUGCUUUUGUGGGGUGCUCGAGUGGCGAACGGGUGAGUAACACGUGAGUAACCUGCCCUUGACUUUGGGAUAACUUCAGGAAACUGGGGCUAAUACCGGAUAGGAGCUCCUGCUGCAUGGUGGGGGUUGGAAAGUUUCGGCGGUUGGGGAUGGACUCGCGGCUUAUCAGCUUGUUGGUGGGGUAGUGGCUUACCAAGGCUUUGACGGGUAGCCGGCCUGAGAGGGUGACCGGCAACAGUGGGAAAGAGAUACCGCCAGGACCCCGACGGGGGGCAGAAGGGGGAAUUAUUGCACAUGGGGGGGAGCCGGGAUGCAGCACCGCCGGGGGGGGGAGGGCGGCCGGCGGUUUGUACACCGUUUGCGCCGGUGAAGAGGGGGGGGGGAGGGUAGGGGGUAGAAAAGCCCGGGCAAACAAGGCC